AGAGGCUGCAAGUUCGAGGACACAGCAGAAGUACUCACGGUGCAGCCCUGUCAGAUUCCAACGAAUCUGCAAAUUCUGCU
rnacentral:ribozyme from 1 species